ACGCUCGACACCUACGGGGAGGCAGCAGUAGGGAAUCUUCCACAAUGGACGCAAGUCUGAUGGAGCAACGCCGCGUGAGUGAAGAAGGUCUUCGGAUCGUAAAACUCUGUUGUUAGAGAAGAGCACGAGUGAGAGUAACUGUUCAUUCGAUGACGGUAUCUAACCAGCAAGUCACGGCUAACUACGUCCCAGCAGCCGCGGUAAUCUGAGCGGGCUGGCAAGGC
rnacentral:rRNA from 1 species